CCCUUAGAUGUUCUGGGCCGCACGCGUGCUACACUGAGUGGAUCAGCGGGUCAGGUUGCGCGAAAGUGUUUCCUAAUCUUUAAAUCCGCUCGUGAUGGGGAUUGACGGUUGCAAUUUUCCGUCAUGAACGAGGAAUACCUUGUAAGCGCGGGUCAUCAUCCCGCGCUGAAUACGUCCCUGCCCUUUGUACACACCGCCCGUCGCCCCUACCGAUUGAGUGGUCCGGUGAGGCUUUGGGAUCUGGGCGGAAAGAGCGUUUCGCUGUUUCUGCCCGGAAAACUCAGUCGAACCUUAUCAUUUAGAGGAAGGAGAAGUCGUAACA
rnacentral:rRNA from 1 species